AGUGAACGCUGGCGGUAGGCCUAACACAUGCAAGUCGAACGGCAGCACAGUAAGAGCUUGCUCUUACGGGUGGCGAGUGGCGGACGGGUGAGGAAUACAUCGGAAUCUACUUUUUCGUGGGGGAUAACGUAGGGAAACUUACGCUAAUACCGCAUACGACCUACGGGUGAAAGCAGGGGAUCUUCGGACCUUGCGCGAUUGAAUGAGCCGAUGUCGGAUUAGCUAGUUGGCGGGGUAAAGGCCCACCAAGGCGACGAUCCGUAGCUGGUCUGAGAGGAUGAUCAGCCACACUGGAACUGAGACACGGUCCAGACUCCUACGGGAGGGAGCAGUGGGGAAUAUUGGACAAUGGGCGCAAGCCUUAUCCAGCCAUACCGCGUGGGUGAAGAAGGCCUUCGGGUUGUAAAGCCCUUUUGUUGGGAAAGAAAAGCAGCAGGUUAAUACCCCGCUGUUCUGACGGUACCCAAAGAAUAAGCACCGGCUAACUUCGUG
rnacentral:rRNA from 1 species